CCUACGGGCGGCUGCAGUGGGGAAUAUUGGACAAUGGGGGGAACCCUGAUCCAGCCAUGCCGCGUGUGUGAAGAAGGCCCUCGGGUUGUAAAGCACUUUCAGUGAGGAAGAACGCCUGGUGGUUAAUACCCAUCAGGAAAGACAUCACUCACAGAAGAAGCACCGGCCAACUCCGUGCCAGCAGCCGCGGUAAUACGGAGGGUGCGAGCGUUAAUCGGAAUUACUGGGCGUAAAGCGCGCGUAGGUGGCUUGAUAAGCCGGUUGUGAAAGCCCCGGGCUCAACCUGGGAACGGCAUCCGGAACUGUCAAGCUAGAGUGCAGGAGAGGAAGGUAGAAUUCCCGGUGUAGCGGUGAAAUGCGUAGAGAUCGGGAGGAAUACCAGUGGCGAAGGCGGCCUUCUGGACUGACACUGACACUGAGGUGCGAAAGCGUGGGUAGCAAACAGGAUUAGAUACCCCAGUAGUC
rnacentral:rRNA from 1 species